AAUCUCUAUCCUCCCAAACACCUCCCUAAAAUCUCUCUCCCACAUAAGUAACCCCAGAUCCGACUUCCAAAACGACUAAAAACUUCCUAAUCAAAUGGGCGAAGAGGUUCGGAUGACCGAGUAUGAACCUGACGCCAAGAACAACGACGACGACGACAAUAACGCUGACGAAGAGAGAAUACUUGAGUGGGAGCUGGGCUUACCUAACGGAAACGAUCUAACUCCGUUAUCCCAGUCGUUAAUUCCGCUGGAGCUCAUGACGGCCUUCAGUAUCUCUCCGAUGCAACACCGUACCCUCGUCGAGGUCAAUCGCGAGUCUCAGAACACGCUAUCAUCGCUACGUGGCAGCCAGACGCACGCUCUCUCCUCCACUAACAACAACAUCAAGUCGUCCACCGAAACGCGUGACCCAACGGUUCUGGAACCCGACGAGACCGACCAAAACGGGUCGGGAUCCGACUCUCGGAAAUCCCGUAAACUGGACUGUACGGAGGAGGCCGACUCGGCUUUGAGGACGGACAAUUCGAACAACGACGAGGAUCCGUCUGCGAGGACGCUCAAACGGCCGCGUUUGGUGUGGACACCGCAGCUUCACAAGCGUUUCGUGGACGUGGUGGGCCACCUAGGGAUAAAAAACGCGGUACCGAAGACGAUCAUGCAGUUGAUGAACGUUGAAGGCCUGACACGCGAGAACGUGGCGAGUCAUUUGCAAAAGUAUCGGUUAUAUUUGAAACGGAUGCAGUGUUUGUCGAACGACGACCAGUCUUCUUCUGACCAUCAAUUGUUCGCGUCCACGCCGGUUCCACCGCAGUGUUUACAUUAUGAGAGCGGUGGAAAUAGUAAUAAUAAUAACAAUAAUAGUAAUAAUAACGGAAAUGGACACGUGGCGGUUCCGAUGCCCGGGUCGUAUGGUGCGCCACCGGCUAUGAUGUCGAUGCCGGUUUACGGGAUGAUGAACCAGGGGUUUCACCACCAGGGGCAUGGGUUCGACCCGAGCAUGUAUAAUAUGAGCAUGAAUAUGAAUAUGAAUAUGAAUAUGGGGAUGAAUAAUAUGCUGCAACAGAGGGAUUGGUCUGUGAAUAAGCACGGGGCGGUAAUGUCGUAUCCUCAUCAUGUGGCGCCUUCUAGUGAUAAAUGAAAAAGUAUGAAUUUUUUUGUUGGUGAAUUGAAUGGAGGGAUUUUGCUUCAGUGUUCUUCUUCAAUUUAAUGAUAAUGAAAUGACAGAUUAAAUGCUUGGGCUAUUUGGUUUGAGCUUAACUUUUAUUGGAAGUGGCUGGGUGUUGGAUUCUGAAUUCUUAUAGAGCAUAGAGAGACACUAAAAGGCAUAUUCUGAUGAUAGUAUGGAAUAUAUUAUGGAUCAGGCAAAGCUAUAACCUUUCUUCAGUUUCAUUACACGUCUUCUUUGAUUUAUCAGAUGGCAGCACAAGGGUCCUUGCAAACUAUUCCAGGUCUACCAAGAUGACAACAAGCUAUAAAGUACAUUCUUAACUUGUUCUUUAUGGAUAAAUGUUAUGAUUGGUGUAUUCGAACAUGUAAAACCUUCUUUUUUAACAACAAACCUGAGUUAAUAAAAAUAAAAAAUCUAUGCAAAAGUUGUCAGGUAGACCCGCGGUCUAAUCUGCAGGUGGUUAGACUGUCAGUCUUACCUUGUAGGGUAUAGAGUGCCUUGU